UCUGCUCAACAGUAAGGUCAGCAGUGAAGUUAGGGGUUGUGGCACUCAUACUUAAAGGUUGUGCUACACUACAGAUCUCAUUAUAAACUGAGUGCUACACCAAAGAAUAUAAACUGAUAUUGGAGGUGGCUUAAUAUAAAAUUUAUUGCUGUCCGACAAGAUAUGACUUCUUUCAGGUGUUCAUUCCUGAUAACAACCCUAAACAAAAAAUGCAUUGAACAGCGGGGGGGAAAAGAUACUCUGUUGGUACAAAAAGUGCUUCAAGUGAAGAAAAAAUAGUACCUCAAAACUGGCUAGAUCCAAGGAAACAGAAAGACCUUCUUCCUUAGCCAUUUGGAUAGCUGCCUGAAUGAUGUCCAAAUUAAAUAUGGCAUAUCUCACGACCAACCACUGUAAAAUAGAAUAACCGAAUUAGGAGUUAUUAAAUGCACUUCGUCAAACACUGCAUUGCAACGGCUAAUAUUCAAAACAAAGUUUGUGGUACUAUUAAUCAUUAGUUCAAAAUGAUGGAAAUAUGAGUUUCAAGAACAUAGAAUUAAAGCAAUUGAGCAAGAACUCCAACUGCAGUCAACAAGCAUUUUGAUUGACAACUGACAUAAUUCUCAUUAUGACGUAGAUGUGUAUUACCUUGGAGCCUCUGAAAUCUUCUUUUUUAAGUUCAUUUGCCUGUCAAAAAUUUAGCAAAAUGAGGACCACGGGCAAAUUCCUCCUCACCAAGCAAAAACCUCUAUAAAUGCCAUAUUACUAGUAUCUAGAUUGAAAACAGCAAGUACCUUAACUUUCACAGCAUCAGAGAGGCAUGGCCUCAUUGUGCGAUUGCCACGUUCAUCAACCAAGCAAACACACUGCAGAAUUAGUAUACAAGAUUUCAGCACUCUGGAAUUUUUUAAGAAAUUUUUAUGCAUUUAAUUAAAUGCACGAUGUAGAUGCAACAAUAAACUCACCUGAGCUGUUGGACCACUCUUCAAUCUCAAUCUGGACAAAUCAACUUUGUAAGAGCUCAUAUUAGUCCUAAACAAUCUGCCUUCUUCAUCAUCACCACAAGCCCCAAUUAUUCCACAAUUUACCCCGAAGCCAGCAGCAAGGCCUCUAAUAGUGUUUGCAACACUGCCUCCAGCCAUGGUUUUCGAAGAAGAUGAAUUGUCAGGAGUGGAAAGAAUAUGGGUGUUUACCUCACUCAAGAUACACUUCAGUUCCGCAGCAGUAACCUGUAUACAGUAGAAAGGGAAAAGAUAGAAGCUUUUACACAGCCGGACAAUUAUAUUGAACAACUCUAAAUAGUUCUCAAACAGCAGUGGGAACAUCCAAGUUUGAUGUUGAAUCACUGGGUUUACAUCCUAGAACAAUAACAGGAAGAAAACCACAAACAAGGGAAGGUUGACACCCAGCCACACAGAAUACAACCAUUGUAUUUAUAUCACCAACUGACAGCAAUAUAUAAUACAAUGGACGAGUCACAGAGACAACCAUCGUAUCCCAACCACAUCUAGUUGAGAUCAAAUAUCUUCCAAGCAAGAACAAUCAAAAGACUACAAAAGCAGCCCGUCUAAUCACGAGAUGCUGUGACCUCAUGGUUUAGAAAUAGACAACAUGUUAAGCACAAUGAAUCCGAACAGUAAAUGAUAUAUAUAUUUUUUGGCUUACGGAAUGGUAUACUCAGUAAAACAGGAAUUACGUGCCUCCAAUUCUCUCUCCCGAAAUGUUCAACAUCAGUGUCUGGUGAGGAUUCUGCUUCUAGUCCAUAGUGACCUUAAUGACUAAUAAACUUAAAAGCCAAGCACUCCUUGGAAACCAAAAGUCCCAUCUAAAGAAUUCACCUGAAUUUCAGCUCCAGUGAUCCAAUUCAGCAAUCUAAGUAAAAUUCAAUCUUUCACUUAAAAAAAAAACAGAGACAUUGUUCGGGCAUGCAUCAAUUCAGUAUUCAAUUAAGUUUAGAAGUGUUUGAAAAGGAGUGAGUGGGAGAGAGAGAGAGAGUACAGGAAAGGAGCCACCAGGCUUGCCGGGGAUUUGAGAAAGGAGGGACAAAUCAACUUUAGCUACGUGGUCAACCAAGGCGGCUGGUUGUAGACCCAACACCAAAGGCGGAGGCCAAGUUGCACUGGUUUCUUUUCCAGUCUUGUUAUAGUCCCUAGGCUGAAAUUCAACACCCAUCUCUUCCUCUUCCUAGAUUUAGGUAAACAGUCGGCCGAUGAAUGAUCCAGAUGAAGCUUCCCUUCCCUUUGGGCGCCUGCACUCUGGGAAUGGGACGUUGGAUCGCCCUCCAGCCUCCUUCCCCGCCUUCUAUCUACUCUGACAUCAUGGUAUUUAUAGACAGGCCCGACUACUGAGAAGCGACCGAACAAAACAAUUAUCAGAUGUUGUAGUGUGUAAUUUUUUUCCCCAUUUCUCUUCAGUUCUAAAUUUUUUGGACUAAUUAAGAGUUACGGUUUUUGUUUUGUUUUGUUUUUGUACUUUUAUCUUUUCCAUCUUAUAACAGAAGAAAUAAAAACAAGAGGUCAUGUAGUAUUGUUUCUUUUGUCUUUUCCCCUCAAUUAUAAUGGCAAAAUUUCGAAUUCAGUACAAAUUGAAGUAAUAGUAGCCCAUAGAAAGAUGCACGUCCUCGAACAACAAGAAUACAAAUUUUCAUCUAUAAUUGUAUACUUUUAUUUUAGAAGUAUCUUGAAUUCAAAGAUUGAUCUGACAUUUCCUCGAAUUUUUUUCACAGUUGAUUACGCUAAAGGAAUAUUCUGACAUCUCUUUUAGAUUUUUUCAUUGCAAGUGAAGUUCUUUUCAUUACAGGUGAGAUUCGAACCCUCAACAUACAAUCCAAAGAAGGACUUAAGUCAUGCUAGCUCAUUCGGAUUAUGUAAUGUGGUUGUACAGAAUAGGGACCUGAUUUGGGCGAAUUACCUAGAAGCCAUGUACUUACUAUAAAGCUAGCAUAAUUAACCUUUGCAAAAGGAUGUGGUGGAACAAUUUUUUUUAUUUUAAUAUUUUACAAAAAAAAAAAACUUCACUUGAUUUGCUGAUUCUUUGUGAAUGAGUAAAAAGCUUUUUAUAUGCUCGUACAUAAUUGUGUUUGUUCACCAAAAUCCACUUUCAACCAAAAGUACCAUUAGAAAAUUUGGUGCUACAUGCCAAGAUUGGACUACUGGAAGCAGCAUAAUCAGGGCUUAUGGACUCCAAUGAUUGCAGAUACUCUUCAUCCACCUUUCAACACUAACUCGGUUCUACAUCUAUUCUUGGUUGGUUAACUACUACAAUGUUGAAUAGGGCAGGGAGGUUUUAGUUAUUCUCAAGAUCUAUCCUAAUCCGGGUUAACCCUUUGUUUGUGCUAGUUGUAAGGAUUCAAAUCAAGAGGAGAUGAUCAGCCCUGCACAAAACAACAGAACUAGCUAGCUAGAGAUCACAUGACCAGAUUCUAACGUAAUAGCCUCUAACGGAGGAUAUGGCCGACAGAGCGGAUGGAUGUAAAAAGCCACCAGCCGUAUACUUCCAUCAGCUACUGCAAUUUUGUGUGGACCAAAGAGAGCAGCCUACAACUUUCUUAAUUUCUUGGACUCAUUUUGUCUUAGAACUUUGUCCAUAGGGAGGGAGGGAGGGAGGGAGGGAGGAGGAAUAAUCGAACCAUAAAUUUUAUUUUUUUAAACGAAAAAAAAAGAAGAAGAAAAGAAGUCAAUAAUAGGAAGACAGGGGGUCCAAUCCAAAUCCACGCAUGCAAGUUCAAUUGGGAAAGAAUCCAGGAGAGCCAAACAAAUAAAAAGAUUCGAAUCAUGCAUGCUUGGAAUGAUUGAGAGGACAAAGGACAAGCCUUUUUGUAUUUUUUUUUAAUACAGUCCAGAAAGCAGCUGAAUUUCCGGGAUGGCUCAUCUUCUUUGCCUCUUCCUGCUCCAGUCGGCCAACACUUUUCAAGAUUCCACUUUAUUAUUCAAACUUUUGGAUAUGCAACAAUUACUGGGAAUAUUUCAGUCGUUCCACAUAAUUAUAAUUUACUUCUGAAAGAAGAAGAAUUACUAGUAGUUUAGUAGUACUUGCCAUUUGUUUCUCCAAUCAUGCUCAGGCUGAUGCACAUGGAUUAGCCAUUAGAUCCUGCUACAGCUAUAGCCUGGCAGGCCGGGUCAUUUUAGCAGCAUUUGGAAUAAAUAAUUUCCAGGCAGCAAUUUGAGGUCCACAAAAAGUAUUCACUACAACCCCCCCUUUUUUCUUUUUAAUCUUCUUUUGGCGUUAAGAAUUAAGAAGAGAUGAGUUUGAGUUGGAACUAAUCAAACAGGUUGACAUACAGCAAAAGAGAUAGUAAUUUCGAAGUAUAACUGAUCCACAUUGUCUGAUAAACUUCUCCAGAACUUAAAAAGGAUCAGAUUGAUCGCUCAAGACUGGGACGUUAGCCCUACAGGAUAUUCAAGAAUAAGGAAAACAAGAGAACGUUAGACAUUACAUACAAUAAAGGGUAUCAGCCAACAAAGGGCGGCUAUUCGUGCAUGUUGCUCCACAACAUUGGUUUCUCUCCGGACAGGAAAAAGGCAUCUCCGGAGAUAAAGAUUAGCUAGCUAAACCAGAAGUUCAGAUGCAAGUGUCGUGAUGCAUAAAUCUACCCUUAAAGAAGUCUUAGUGUUAUUCUGGAAGGAGGUGACCGACCAUUUCCGGAUUAGAUAUUUGCAGAGGAUAGCUUCUACUGACCAUGAAGCCUCGAAGGUCAAGCGAAUAGCUGUAAACAUACUAUCAAACUUAAAAAAGAUCUUACUGGGUGCCCUUUUGUGGUUUAUCUGGUAAGAUGUUAUCUGGAAGAACGAGUUCUGGUGGAGUUUCACGAAUAACUCCUAGCAUUGAAUCAUACUCCUCGUCACGGCGAGAAUACUUCUUGCGAAGAACUUUCUCAAAUUCAAUCUCAUCAAAGGAUUUUGCAUUUUCAGCAGCAUGGACCUGUGCUAGGUUACAGUAAUUGGUUGCAGAUUGGGAAAUAAAGGCUAUCUCUUCAUCACUGAGCUUUCUGAGGAACUUGGCCGGAUUACCUCCCCAGACCUAUGGCAAAUUAACAGAUAUCUCAGACAAAGCUGACAAAGACUAAGACUUAAACGUCAAUGGAACCAUAUUUAGAAAAGAACAGCAUCAACAUUACUUUCGAAAGGAGAACGAACCAAAAAAAGGAGGAAAAGAAAAAGUAAAACCAUUGAGCUCUCCUUUUAAAUUUUGGAAAGAACGGGAAAGAUUAAAAUAAUUGCCUGUCCACUGGGGAUCCUCAUGUUUUGCCUCACAAGGGCACCCGCUGCAACCAUGGCAUGCUUCUCCAAGACUGCUCCAUCAAGAAGCGCAGCUCCCAUACCAACAAAAGCCUCAUCCUCAACAGUACAGCCAUGUAAAACAGCACUAUGACCUGCGUGGAUUCAUUUUGAGUACCAUACCAAAAGUCGGAUAGGACUCUUGUAGGGAAAAGUAGAAGUUUCAAUUUCUGACCAUACAUGAAAGCAGAAUCAUUAAACAGGAUGCUUACCAAUAGUUACAUUAUCUCCAAUGAUGGUAGGAAGCACUUUCCCGCUUAGAUUGGAUUUUGCCACAUGAACAAGGGAGUUAUCCUGUAUAUUAGUUCCAGACCCAACAGUGAUGCUGUUAACAUCACCUGCAGAUAAAAAGAUGGAUCCAGAUGAAGGUUAGUGACAGAUAAUAGCAUUCUCUUCCUCUUUCUUGUCUCCUUUCUUUGGAAGUUAAGGGUGUAGAGGAAAAUUCUUGAACCAAUUUUGCAUGUUAAAUUUCAGAUGAAAAGGCUGGUCAUAAGUUCCCUUAAAUGUUAUCAUCUUGUAUUCUCAAACCCCGCGCCCCCGCCCCCCUUUUCUUUUCUUUGGAGUCGCAUGGGCAGCAGAAGUAUGCAAUCCCACAGUGAGGGUAGCCUAUGUUCCUAUCAAAACUUAAGCAGGCAGCAACAUAAUUUCUGAAUGACAAAUACCUUCAAGAACUAAUCACCUCCACAAAUUCAAAAUGAGAUUCCACAGGUCAGAGAGAGAGCAGGCAAAAUGGUACACUAGUGGGGUGAAGAAGUGAAUGCAACUGGAAAGGAAAACAAUCAUUUACACGCAAAAAAAGUACUGCCUGAAUGGGUAUUACUUUGGAAAAUCUGGAAGUGGCAUAAAAGAAUGACAUACAAGAAUGAUCACGAUGAAUACAAAGGAGGGUACUUAAAAACAUCUCUUUUUCUCUCUCUGGGCUUAGAAAAUUGCAUCCUAAAUUUUCAGACAAUGAUGUGCAAAGCUGCAGCAGCCUUUUUACCCUCCUUGAAGGUUAUUAAUCAUUUUGAUAUCUUUUUAUUUUCUUUUCACACAAAGACCCUUAAGGACAUGAAAACAAGCGUAAUGCAUCUGAUCUUUCAAGAAUAUGUAGAUUUAGUUUCCCAUGCAACAAGUAACAAAUUCUCGUUGCAUUCUGAUGGUAUCAGAGCUCUACAACUUAAAGAAUACCAAAAUCGUUCAAAAGGAAUAUCAUAAGCAAAUACUAUAUACUUUAACAACUUUCUUAAGCAUCUGACUGAAGAUAAAAUGCAGCAAUAUUUCAAAAUUGAAUCUCCUUGUACAACAUCAGGCAAACUUCAGAUGUCUACUUUCUUUUUUUACCAUUAAUUAUUUUUUUUUGGGGGCAUGUCUGCUUUCUUCUUUUAACUGAAGGGCUAUAAAAUUUUGCUCUCAUAUUACUGAGCAGCAAAAAAUUUAGUCAUAACCAAUUGAAAAAAUUAAGAGAAACAAAAAUCAUGAAGAGGGACCAUAUGCCGCAUGCAGAAGUUACAUUCGAACUCUUCUUUGGUGUUAAAGUAAUAGCUAUGAAUAGUCAUUGACUAGGCAACAAAAUGACUGAAAAACUGCUGUUGAACAUCCUCCAGGCAUGUAACAGUCUGAAUUGCUAUGGAUAUAAACAUAAUUUCUGAGUGAAGCACUGACCUCUCAGAACACAUCCAUACCAAAUAGAUGACCCUCUUCCCACUUGAACAUCCCCAAUGAUGGAGGCACUUGGGGCUACAAAGGCUUCCUUAUCAACCAGAGGAGCUUUAUCGAAUAUGUUCAUCAAUGUACGGUGUCUAGACACUAAAGAACAAACAAGCAAGUAAAAAUGCAGAAAAAAGCAAAACACAGCUCAUAAGAGAAUUGGCUAAUUGACAUUUAGGGAUGGGAUAAGGCAAUAACUAAGCGAAAACUGGGCACAGAAGUGCAUUGAAUGAAAUCUGAAUCAACAGGCUUAAAAUGUGCUUUGGUUCAGAACGCUAGCAGCCAGGAUACAUAUAAGUUGCCCUACGAGGGGCCUUAAGGUUACAGUCAUCCUUAAAAAGUGCAAUUAUAGGGUCAGGAGGUAUUGGCACGACAAAGAAAAUAAGAUGAAAAAGUAUAGAUAGCAAAAUCUGAAGCAACAAGCAUAUAUCUUCAUCAAAGAAAAAACUAAAGGUCUAAAAUCGAUCCAAAUGCAGAAUGAAAAUUUCUAGCAUGAGUUCCUAACAUGACCAUGUACUUGAAACUACAGCAAGAGGUUCAACCAAAACAUUUCAUACUAAUUAAACUUAGUAUUGCACAUUUCUAUAACUUCUUUCCUCGCAUUUCCUCGUUAAAUCAUUAGAGAAAUGGUUUGAACUUAAUAUCCCACAUAUGUAUAUUAUGACACACAUAAACCAUGAGGCCAUCUGACUCAUUUGAUGGGGUGAUCCAUAAAAUAGAAUCGCUUCGUUCUUUUUUUUUUUUUUUUGUUUUUUGGUCACUCACCAGCAAAGAAUUACAUAAUUCGCUCCCCACUAAGCCGUCCUAGCAAGAUCCUAUUGCCAGUUAAUUUGAGCAAGAUUAAAACUUUACCGGAAAAAAAUUGACAAAUAGCUCAAUUAGCCCAACAAUCUGAAGAUAAAAGAGAAAAAGAAAUUAAGAUGGGCGUCAACAUUUGUCACCAUUCGUACCAAAAGAAAGAAAAAAGAAAAAGCUGUGGACGCAAGUAUGUUAAAGGUGAGAAUGAGGUGGGCGCAACCUACAUUGUUCUUGGAAAUAAUAAUUUCCUUGGAGACGGCAGCCAAGGCGAUCGAGGGCUUGACCCGUCUCUCUGAUCCAAAACCCAACUGUAUACACUGCUCUUCCCAGAGUUCCCAUGACGAUGAUGACUCAGGAUUGAUAAUCGAUCAGCUCCUCCAGUAGAGGUGUUUUAUGGGGUUUUUCAGCUAAGAGGGUGAGUCAGGGUUUUAGCCGUUUGGAUAGGAACUUGAAGGGCAUCUUUGGUAACUGGCAUGCAUAGCACACCUACUCUUUUUUAUUUGAUGGAGUCACAUCUCUCCUCUAAUUUGUUCUGUUAAUUGCAAAAUAGGCUCUUGCACUUUCAUGUCCUGCAUUGCUGCUAUUACAUGACACGGCCUUUCUUUUCCCUUUUUUCUUGAUAAUCAUUUCAAUAAGGUAAGCAUUCAAGUACCUCUAAUCUAAAGCAUUCUGAUCACACUUUGUUUUGAUUGCUGCUUAUUAAUAGCUUGUUGGGACGUGCUUAGCAAUCCAUUUUAGACUUUUGAAAUUUUAGGUGAACCUUUUUACGAAAAUCCCAUCAAAAAAAGAAGAAGAAAACUGUUUCCCAUAAUUGAGAUUUUGGGGAUAUAUUUCAAAAUGGAACGCAACAAAUUUACUUGAAGUGCAAGAUGGAUGCACAUUCAACAAUUUCACCGUUUAGGUCCAGUCUGGUUGGAAUUUGGAAUUGAAUACUCGGGAGUCGGAGGCAUGUAAUUUUUGUUCUUGCAGCCUUUGGAAGUGCCAAGAAAAACUGGAAUUGUACCAAGGAAAUGAAGAGAUUUCAAUACUGUUUCCCCUGGCUGAAGUGGUACAAACUUAAACACUCUGAUAUCAUACAGAUAUGUUACGCUUAAUUAUGCUACCUUCACUUGAUGAACACAUAAUAAGAGAGUGAGCUAUGAAGCGUUGAUUGAACUCCUUCAACGUGUAUUUCUACUGUUUUUGUAUAAAAAACAUAAUCCGAAUCACCUGCUUUUGUCAGUUGAUCCAUGUAAGAUCAAGGUACAUAAAAGCUUCGAAUGGAAGAAGCGUAUGGCGAUGGUAAAUUCUCAGUCACACCAACAGCAAAGUGGCACAAUGACUUUUAAAGGGUGUUCUAAUAUUUGUCUUGGAUAGUUCAUCUCCUCAUCGACUCCUGAGGCGGCUUGGAACGGUUGCCGCUACUGCGAUAUAUGCCUUGCGGGUUUCUUGCGUUGAAGGAUUCUACACUGUUGAUAUCCUGAAUUUGUUGACUGGAUUUCUAUCCCCUAAGGCUGGAAGCUUUAGAUGGUGUUCCGUUGCCAGCUAAGGUGUCCGAUGAAUUUAGGCCUUUUUUUCGGUGUCUUCCUGGAUUCAGAUUCUGGUGAGAGUAUCUCCUCUGCCACAAAUUCACAAGAUCUAGGAAGAAGUUAUCAACGUUCAGCAGAUAACAUAAUCUUGUAAAGGGGUCAGGGCUGCAAAACCAACAUGUCAAAUACAGAGGUGCUGUAAAGGGAUCGACAUAUGCUGAUCGAUUGUUGAGUUACAGAUUCUUUCCAGUUUGACCUUUACCGCGAUUAAUGAAUAGUACUGCUGUUUAGAACCUGUUCAAUCAACGUCAAUUUUUUGGUUCUCUCUCGAGCUGUUUCAAUUUUAUUUUUAUUAAUCAAACCUUUUGACAUAUAUUCUACUUCUAGAUGUGACAACUUGGCAUUCAUUAUUUGUUCAAGCGGUGACUUUUUGAUCAGCAUACUCUUCCUAGUAUUCGUUAGUAGAACCUUCAUCCUCAGUUCAUCCAAACAAGUACAAGAAAAACGGAGUAAACCGUUGCAUAAGAACAUCUCAUCAGACGGAGAAAGUGACUCGUUACCCUUUUCAGCACUGAGGAUUAAAUAUGCUUCUCAUGAUACUCAUCAAAUAUUGCUAGUUUGUUCUUCGGAUAUGAAGAGGAUUCUGUGGAUGUUUGGGAGAAGGUCUGCGUUCUCUAGAGUCCUCUGUACAGCGAAGCAAUACCAAUGUCCAGGCUUUGAGCAUUUCAUUAGUCCUUGACUCGAGUUCAACAAGACAUGCCAGAUCGAUUGUUAAUGAUAAAAGAUUUUUAUUGGUGCAACAAACCUCCAACAACUCAACACCAGAAGGCACAAGGUCAUUAUCAAAUAUCAUCCCAAUAUCUGACUUUCUAUCCAUGACAUCAUAGUACAAAUAAUAGUGUAUACCAAACUGCAUAGUGGGUUAGAAUCUUCAAACAUCACUUGCUAAUUGUUUCUUAAACAUGGCCAGCUAAAGUGACAAAAAGUCUCCUCCUACCACCCCCCCCAACCCUGGAUAAAAGCCUUCAGAAGACUUGAUCAAAUAUGUAUCACUCAAGUUUCUCCAACAAAUGAGUGGGAGAACUUUUGUCUUGAUUUUGUUCUUCUGGGCAGUACUCACCAUUGUCACCCCUAUGCUUGUUCGCUUGUCCGCUUCUGCCAAACCCCACAUUGAAUUCAAGGCCAAGGGUAAGAAAACCAAGAGAUGUUUGUUGCUCAUGUAAUUUUUACACCUUCAAAUUUCAUUUCCAAAUUCUUGUUUUUCAGAAGUAAUAUUUGGUUCCGGGAAGAAAGUAAUUUUUGGUUUUUCAGAAGUAGUACUCUACUGAGGUCAAUGUCAAUUUGCUGCAAGUCUGAAACAAGUGAAACAAUUAGUGCUAGGCCUUGAAACAAGUGAAAAAUGGAGCAUGAUAUUUGGCUUUGGUUUACUUUCUUGUAGGGGAAACACGGGAAGAGAUGUACACUAGGAGGGUUUUGGAGAUGUUGCCUAGAAGAGCACUUGUUCCUACAAUGAUGCACAAGGCUCCAUUGGCACCAGAGCCACCAGCUUCCGCACCAGCACCAGAACCAGAACCAGAACCAGAACCAGAACCAUCAUUAGUAGUCAAUGGCCUAGAACUUUUUGUAGACGGGGAUAAAUUGAUAAGCCAUAAAGCACAUGAGCUGCUGCUCAGAUGAAUUUGGUCCGGAUUAUCGAGCAAACCAUCAUGAGACAAGUGUUAAUUUUUAUUGAGAAGGUGGUUGGGCGCGAUUGUAAAUAGAAUGUUGGUAGGUUAUUCUACCAUAGAACUUUUUUUUUUUUUUUUUGUAUUCUUUUUUUUCCCCUUCCCUUGUGGUUAUUCUCAACAAUAAAAAGCACAGAUAGCAAAGUAUUUAAAUUUACAGACUUCUAUUAACAGGUUAAUUUCGAGCUCAAGGGCAAUAAGAGUGGAAAAUUGAGGAAGAAAUGCAACGUGUUUAUAUAUAUGAAGAAAGGAGUAUAUACAUAUUACACAUAGUUCAGUCUAUAUUAAUUCCAAGAUGUCAUCAUUUUCUUUAAUCUUCUUCUUUCUUCUUUCUAACUCACCGUUUGGAUUAGCUAUUUUUUGGGGUGUUUUUGAAAAAUUUUGUUGUAGCAAAUUUUUUAAUUAUAUUUUGAGAUAUUUUUAGAAAAUAUUUUGAAAUAUUUAAGAGUAGAAGGGUUUCUAAAAUAUAUUUUGAGAUAUUUUUUAAAAUUUUAAAAAAAUUUAAACUAAUUUUUAGAUUACCUUUAGAGUAUUUUUUAAAAAAUUUUAUUGUAUUUGAAAAACAUUCCCAUUCAAACUGGUUUUUUUUUUUUUUUUUUUCCAUCCAUUGGCUUUUGCAUUGGCGAUGGAUAUGGUAAAUAUACUCUGUUCUUAAAUUAAAAAAAAAAAAUUCUAGAUGGGCUCCAGUAUUGGGCUGAAAUCGUACUAAAAAUACCAAUCUAGAUUCUUUAAGUUGCAAGGGCCACAUGUGUGGCGUCCGCGGUGUGAACAAUGAGAACGGGGUCCUCCUUGUCCAAUUGGAGAAGUUAAAGUAAAUUUUUGUGUUUGGUUGUCCGGAAAAUUGUUUGGAUACUGUUAGGAAUCUGUUGCAAAUAACCCCCCAGCCCCAAAAGGCCCAUCUUCUUUAUCAUGUUUGGAUACUGUUAAAAAUCUUGACACGAAAAAUUAUGUAACGUCAGAUUGCCAUAAACAUUCCUGCGAGCAUAAUGUGGAAUUGUUAUUGUGAACCCCUUGUUUACAUAAUAAUGGAUGAAACACACCGUGCUUUAGUUCAAUGGGGACGUAUUUGAGAUUAUAAAUAAACUUCCAUUAAAGGUUGCUUAGCCAAGUUUUGCUGAUGACAUCAUUACUGUCUCUGAAUAAAGAAACAUGCCAAGAGUGAAAUUCAAGCAUCCCCAAUUGAACGACCACCAUGCACAAUCAUCACAGGCUUGGGUUUAAAGCAUAAUUAUGCACCUGCCACUCGACAACAGACGUCAAACUCUUAGUUCACCACAACAGCAAUGGCACAGUUAUGAUUGUGUAUUGUCAAAGCUAGGGGUGCACAUAACUCAAGCCGCUUGUGAGUAUCUUGAGUCGGAGGUCGAGCUCGAAUUCAAAGACAUUUCACUCAUUAACUCGUGAACCUACUCGAUUAUAUAUAUAUAUAUAUAUAUAUAUGUGUGUGUGUGUGUAUAUGCAAUGGCAUAGUUAUAAUUGAAUAUUAUCAAAGUUAGGAGUUCAUACAACAUGAACCGCUCGUGAGUAGUUUGAGUCAGAGGUUGAAUUCGAGUUCAAAGAUAUUCCGCUAGUUUAUUCGUGAACCAAUAGUGACAUUACAUAUAUAUUUUUAAUAUUUUUUUAUUUAUUAAAAAAAAUUACUAUUUUAUUCAUUUUUUUAAAAAAUAAAAUAAUUAUUAUUUUUUAAUUUUUUUAAGCUCGAACUCGGGUUUUACAUUGAGAGUUUGUCAAAUUCGAGUUCGAGUUUGAUAAAAUUAAGCAGAGAAUCGAUUUGAUUAGGGCAAAGCUCCUCUGUUUUGCAACCCUAGUCAAAGCCUAUUCUUUCAAUAGUCGCAUUAGUGUUGUAUUUACUGCCAUGUCAAUUACAUUGGCCAAUAAUCCCACAAAGAGUCAGAAGUUAUUAGCAGCAAUUCACAAGAUUGAAUUAUAAAAUGAGUUGCAAAGUGCUAUGGCAAAAGCAUUGUAGAAAGUGGAAAACGACUCGUUUCAUUACUACCUCAUCAUUCCCACAAAGGGGCAGAGAAUGUACAACACUAAUAUAGAUAACACUCCUCAUAUAUUUGAAACAUGAGCUAAAAAUAUGAAGUAAAACCAAAUGUAGCAGAAGUAUUUAACAAAGAUCAUUACAAGACAUUCAACACAAAGGCUUUGACAAAGUUUAUCAGCCAAGGCAAUGACCAUAUUAGAAGACCGAUGAACUUCUCAGACGAAUCGAUCAAGGUACUCCUCGACAGUGGUGUACUUGACAUCAGAAUAGAGCUCUGAAGCCUCUACACCAAAAGAUGGCUCAAUUGUAAAGUUGGUACUAUCACCGUUAACCAGAAUUGAAUGGCGGAUUGAUAAUGCGACAUUGAGUGGAGUUGGAGCCUCUGCAAAGAAAUGGUCCAUCAGAAAUUUAUACGCUAAUAAUUCAUACAACUAGAAGACAUAAAUGCGCUUCGCGCGAUGGAAAUGUAAAAUGCCCUGUCCACUUUUGUAUACAUGCAAAAUAAAAUAUAUGAAGUAAUAAAAAUUGUAAUUUAUGCAGAAAAAGUAUGCGAAUUAUUAAUAAAAUUUAGAAGGAAUGGAUCCUUAAACAGGUAGUCUAUGGAGUUAAACCGGUAGUCCAUGGAGUUAUGUCUGUUCCAUGCUUUGUUUUGCAUAUGAAAACCAUUUGCAAGAGAAAUGGCAAUAAAUUGUAUCUACGCUCAAGUACGACAUCAUAGCCAUUUCUUUGGUCUCCCUACCCCACUUACCUUCAUCUUUCCUAGUAGAAAACCAAGGCAGCCAUUCAAUUAAUUCAUUCUUGUGGAGAUUAUACACCAUCCACAUUUGUAUAUGGAACUUUGUUUCCGAAAAUACUCUACAAAGACGAAAACAACGCUUCUGUAAACCACAUUGUUAUAUCAAAGAACUUCCAAAUUGCUCAUCCAUAGAAGCUACGACAUAUCCCGCGUAGAAAACACACACUCAAGUCAGGGGCAACAAAAUUGACAUUGCACGUAAACAAAAAUUGUUGGAAACAGGUACCGCAUCAUCAUUUUGUCAACAUUACUUUCAUUAAACACAAAACUCAAUGGCCAAUGCCUCUAUUAAUAUUACAAAAAUACCAAAUCCGCACUAAUUUGAAGGCUAUGAGGGGAAAAACAGAUUUUCUAGUCUUCAAUUGUUUAAGCGAUAAACAAAUAGAGAGAACUCCAACAUAGUACAAACUUAGUAACCCCCUUUGAGAUCAUUGACCACAUUUUAUGGAAUUGGAGUUACAGUCUCCAAAGUUGCACCUUCUACCAUGAAACCUGGUUUGGGCCCUUCAGGUUGCCUCUUAGUAUUGUUGACCUCACCUCUUGCCUUUGCUGCAGCCUUCAAUUCAUCAUUUUUUCUGUUCUAUACUUGAUUUCCUCAUUGCAUCGAGAAGGCUGAACAUACUCUACGCGAACAUGAAUCCUCUUCCUGAUAAUCAUAUUAUCAACCUGCAGGUAAAAUUUGUGGAAGCAAAGAUUAGCUUGCUUUCAAGAUAAUGGAAUAUAAAGUAACAAUGUCAUGAUGUUGUGGAACAGGACCAUAGAAGAUAGAUGAAUAGAAUAAUUAACAUGCAAUUCUUGAUGCAUAAGGUCCAAAAGAAACCAUACCAGUAACAAAAUAACAAAGUUAGGCUGGAUCUGUGUUGCUGGAUCUUCAUGAUCAUGUCCGUCAUCUUCACUCUCAUCUUCUUCAUCCUUCCUCUUUUUAUUAAGUUUCCCAUUCUGAUCUCUGUUACCUGUAUUCUGAUGCCCGUGACAGACAUCUCUAUUUCCCUGAACAGCCUUGUCUUCAUAAGUAGACUUCCCUUGUUUCUUGGUAUCAAACUUCUUUUUCCUGAUAACAUGUUGCCAAAUAUUCCUCAGCUCCUUAAUUCGAACAAGUUUCACCAAAGUCACAUGCACCAUGCAUGACCCAUUUUAUUACAAGCUUGGGAUCACUGUUUGCUGAUAACACUGGCAGAAUUCAAGGAAGUAUUCAUAUGGAAUGAUCAAAGGGUUUCUAUAACAUAAUGCCCAAACACUCAAUAUGCAUAUAUUUUGAAAGACAAAAUAGUAAAACGUUCUUACUUUACGCAUUUGAGCAAAUAAUGCCAAAACAAUGCAGAUAAGUAAAAUGACAUGCUUCCUGUUCCCAAAUGCACUCCAGAAAGGAGUAAUCAUAACAUUCUCGAAUGACAUAGAAGAGAAAGUUUGUUUGCUUACUCAUGACAGGAAGGUCCAUUUCAAGUCCAACAAGCUCCAAAAGCUUAUAGCCAUCCAUGUCAGGCAUAUGAACAUCCCUAAGUACUAAGUCAAAUCGGUCCUUAUUUUCCCUCAACAUCUUCAACACGGCUUGCUGGGUAUUUUGAGUACUGUAAGUUGAAUGAGACUGAAGAAAAGAAAGAAAAACAUAAAUGCUUGUACUAAAGUGAGCACUGUCAUCAUGAAGUUGAAGACACUUCAAAUUCAGUGUGGAAAAAGUACCUGAUACAGCCUUUUUUUGUUGUUUCCAUCCCACACACUAACAUAACCAUCACAAUCCCCAGUAGCAAAUGUACCAUAGCUGCAUAUUUAAAUCAGUUUUGAGAUAGAUUACGGGAAGAGGCUAAAGAUAUUCAAUCAAUAGAAAAUUGUAAUAGAUCCAACUCAAUCAUUCAACAUAAAAUAAAUCAAGAAAAGAUAGCUCCACUAGUGAAAUAUCUUAGCAUUGAUUUUCUUUCUUAACAAAACUUGAAAAAAAAAAAACAAAAAGGCCAUACAAGCCAACUUCCAAUGAAUGACUGCUGAACAAUAAUCUCUUUAUUGUGGAUAAAUGUAUAUGCAGCACUUAUAUGAGAUGAAAUGCAAUUGAAUUCAAUGGGGUAGACAAUGUCCCUUCCAGCUCCAGAUUUUCGAUGACACUUGAAUGCAUACCUACACAUAUAAACCAUCAUAUAGUAGACAAUUAUCAAGGUCUGCCUGUUUCAUUCUUGUUGAAUUCUUGAUAUAAGAAAUUUACUCAUCUUAUUCAAUAGCCAACAGAAGUUUUAAUCCACCAGAUCAUAAGGAAUUACACACAUGUCAAUAUCAUUGCACCAUGUUUAGUUCUCUAACAAGUAAUUUUAAGGUGAGAUGCAAGCAAGUAAUAGUACAAAAAAUUGGAUAAGAGCCUCUAUGAAGAGCUAACAAAUUGAGGAGGACCGAACAUAAGAAUGGUAUUGGUAAGGUACCAUAAUAGCUUAGUUCCUCAUUUCUCUCCUCUAUAUUACUCUUCGAAGCAAAGUUGCCAUAACAGUAAAACUUAUGCAGACACACAAACUAAGAUUGAUCAUACCCUUUAUACUACUCCAAAACCGCCGCCUCCUAUUCUAGUUUGAGGAGAGAAAGUGUCCUGUUGCUGACCUCAAAGAGUUGUAUGAGAAUAGCCUGACAUUGCUGGUAGCAAGCUCUAACCAUGCAGAAGCAGAUAGAAAACCAGAGAAUCAGAAGUGAUCAUAUACAAAAUCAUGGAAAAGAGUUGUAGAUUAGUAUAUGCACUAUUCAGAUGAAACCAUAACACCCAUCCUAAAAUAUGCAGCAUAAAUCUCACAAAAAAAAUUCAGGUUCUUAUAUCUUUGAACUGAAACUGUUAUCUAAGUUGUGAGCAGCUAAAGGCACUUAUGUCCCGCUUAGAUUAAGCUCAAACUGAAACCUGACUUUGGAGCUUUUUCUGAUGUUAACUUUUUCUGAACCAAACAACUCUAAACUGGGUAACAUAGCUACCUUAAGAAUACAUGGAUCGGCUCCACUUAUCAAGUUAGAAAAAACAGAUGUUUCCUAAGGACGCAUAGUUAUGAUGAGAAGCUUGAAGGUUGUGCUUGCCUGGGGAAUAUCUAGAGUUGAAAAUUGGAAAUCGGGAAACAUAAAUUCAGGUUCAAUUGCUAAUUGUAAACUGUUAAAGUUUUGAGCAUGAUAUUAACAGCCUAAUUUGUAGUUCAAGUUUGGAGACAUUUGCUUUAGCAGAUGAUAACUAACAAAAAAUUUCAUGGCAAAUCCCUUUUCACUCAUUAAUACCUCUCAUUUUCAUGCGUACAACACGCAAAUCCCUCAAGAAAACAGAAAUGGCUUAUAGAGUAUUUCACUUUCAACAAGAAUGUUAAAUCCAAUCAACAAAAUUAUCACCAUGCUCAAAUUUAGCAAUAAUUGGGAAAAACCUCCAUUCAAGCCUAAACUAAAAAUUGAAAUAUUCUUGGUUCUUACCUCAUGGCACAUGUGCUUUAUUCGUCCCUUGCAAGAACCAGAUGCACUGAAACAGCUACUAAACCCCAUCUCUCCUUUUACGCAUCUGAUGACAAGACCCCACCAAGAAAAAUCUUACAAUCGUUGAUGCACCUGCUUCAAAUCCAGACCCAUUACCUCGUAAGAUAAGACAACAGAGUAUGAAAAACCGAUUGAGGAAAAAAAAAGGCAAACCUUUAUCCAACUUCCCGCAGGUUGUUUUGGACGGCAGAUGAGGAUUAUACUCGAAUUCGAGUGCCGGUGAAUAAAGAAGUAAACUGUAUGUAGUAAGAUGGGAUAGGGAGAGGAAAGGGCAGGGAAGGGAGAGGAAGUGUGAGGAAGAGCGGCGAGGAUGAAAGGCGGGUCAGCUUAGGGUUAGGAAAAAGGGAAAAGGAAGAUGCUUUAAUUGAUCUCUUUCUCUGUUUCCUCCAAGCAAGGAUGGUCUGGAGAUCUGGAGGAGUUGAGCCUAUAAAGGGUGAGGGUCUGGGUCCGGAGGGUCUGGAGAUCUAGGGAGGAAAGGCAGUGAGAGAUGCCGAUGAUGGCGAGGAUCUUGCUACGGAAUUGAAAGGCCUCUCAAAGGCUGAGAGAUAAACGAGAGGAAGAAGGUGCGGCGGUGGAGGAGAAAUGGUAUAAAAAAAAAGGGAACAGCGAGGUUGAACUUGAAGCAGAAGGAGGCGAAAGGGGAAUCCCAGGGCCAGUGGGAGAAAGCGGACCUCUGAUGCUAGGUAGAAAAGGAGGCGAUAGAGGAGAGGGAGACAGUGCGCCGGCGGAGGAGGAGGAGGAGCGAAUGGACAAAGUAUGAGGAUGUACGUAACCCUAGAGGAAAAGGGAGAGAAAUUGAGAGGACAGAGGAACAUUGUUGUGGAAAGAAGAGAAAGAUAAAAGAGGAAAACAAAUGACAGAAGAAAGAGAGAGAGAGCAGCUGCAGAGAGAAGGCAGCGGGAAGAAAGAAUGCAGCAGAAGCACAUGAGAUACUGGCAGCGAGGCCAGGUGGGAAGCUAACGCGCGAGGCGCGAAGGACUAAAUGCUUCUAAUCCACAUGCCGGGCACGUGAGAGGACGACGAAAGUUUUGGCUGAAUUCUGUUGGGACGUUAUCUACUUAUGUUGAUAAGGUUUGCUAAGAAGAAUGAGGAAAUUGAAAUCAAACUUCUUAUCACCUUGGAUGUUCUUCAGGACUUGUUCCUCAGGAAUAUAUUCCUUCUCCAAAGUUUUACCAAUCUUCUUCUCCCAUAUGGCCACUAACUCAUUAAAUGACACAAUAUUCUUAGGGGGCAUAAUGUAGACAACUUUGUUCAAUGUUCUUGGAUCAUGGACAGUUUUGAUGGUGAAGGUGCCAAUGUCAUGUUCUUCAUUGUAAACCGCUGCAAUUGAAACAUUAGAAAAAAAACAUAUACAUGAAGCACCGACACAAUAUUCACGUUCUUACAGGAUAAUAACUUGGGCAGAGGAUAAGAACAUGAUCAGGUGAAGUAGGUGAAAAAGAAUAGCCGAGUGAUAUUGUAUGCCAUACCUUUGGCAUUUCCAUCUCCCCAGAUAGCAACUUUAUCUCGUGGUGGAGCAGUGGCUCCUGGCUGUACCAAGGUUCGAAGAAAAUAUCCAGCAAAAGCGUUAGAUACGAGAGGGGUGUAAGGGAUCCCUGCGGCCUCAGUGGCUCUACGAAUCCGAGAUUUAACUGCAAAUACAGACUUGCCAGGCUCAACUGCAUUUUGGCGAUCCACAUCAAUUCCAAACUCUGAAGGGUAGAAUUUCUGAGAAUUUCGCCAUAUCAUGUGUCAGAAUUUGGGGAUGACAGUUGAUAAACUUGCACAAAUCAUACUCCAGUAAAAUUUCAUUCCAAUCUGCAAUCUUUUCGUUGAAUUCACAGAUUGUCAAGAUCACAAUGGUUUCUCACGAUGACUAAAACAUCCUCAAUGAAUUGACCAAUUAAUCUUAGUCGCUUCUCCACUCUGAAAAUGGGAAGUACCAUAUAGAUGAGUCACAUGCAUUAUCAAGUUCUACGAACGACACAUAGAACCCUCAAAUACAUGAAUUUCAUGUGCAUUAUCAAAAUUUAAUAUAUUUCAACAACUAAAACCUUUGAUUAUCAAUAUUGCAGCGCCACAAAAUCUGCAGUGAGCAUUCCUGAGGAAAAUUGUGCUAGAGCUCAUUAGCAGUUACAGCAUACAUGUAGCAGUGUAGUGAAAGCAAUGACAGAAUAAUCCAAGAAAAAAAAUAAAAGUAAUCAAUACAUUCUCCUAUGAGAAUCAUUAGUAACAAGACCACAUAAACAACACACCUUGACAUUUCCAGCUUCUUUAAUUGCGUCAAUGAUCUUCCCCUGAUCAUUCAAUUGACCGAAACCAACAGUUGAUAUGACCACAUCCACCUGCUUUAUGGCUUUCACUAAACUUUCAUGAUCAUACAGGUCACCCUGCUCCAAGGAAGAAUUCCAAUAUCAAGGACAAAAAUAUACAUCACCAGCUAAAAGGGGGAAAAAAUACUAAUAAUAAAGGAAUCCCAAGUGACGAUACUCUCUUGGAAAAAAUUAACGCUGCUUACAUGAACCAGAGUAGCACCGGAGUUCUUGAAGCCUUGAGCAAGUUUUCCCUUGACAGGAUCAGAAACGGUAGAUUCUCUAACCAGAACAAAGGUGGGAUGCCCAGCCUUAAUGCUUGCCUCAACUAUAAACUUGCCAAUGUAUCCCGUUCCACCAAUGACCAAAAUCUUGCUUUUUUCUGCCAUUCUUGAAUAUUCGGAGGUAUCUAAAAAUGAAGGGUUGUGGAGAGUUUUUUAACUGAUGCAGCAGAGCAGGGAAAGAAUGGAGUGUUGGGACGUUGGCACACUGAGGAACUCUAUUUAAACAGUUUGAGGAUUGGUUUGGGAGUUAUUAGAAAAGACCUUUACGUCACUAGAAGCGAAGGAAUCGAUUGAGUUGUAUUUGGUCGAUGAAAACGGUCAGGUACAUCUUCUAGGUGACCAGUGAAAAUAUCUUAUUAGCUAAUCUUAGGAUAAAUGACAUAUAACUCUCUCGUGAUUUUACGUAAUGUCAUAUGAAUUUUUUAAAAUUUUAAAAUAACCACAUAAUUCACCUACAUUUUAUGUAAAAUGAAAAUCCGAUGGAAUAUAUGGACGUUAAUGAAACUAAAUAUCCAUUUAUCGAGAAAAAAAAUAAAUAGGAAUAAAUUUGAUAAGAGUUAAAUUUUUUUUAUAAUAAUAAUAAUAUUUUUAUAAUAAUAAAUUUGAUUAUUUUGCUUUGAGCUCGACUUAUUAAUUUAACACGUGGGAUAUUUUAUAACCAUAUCAUUUCCUUGAUGCUAGAAAUGCGACUUAUAAAGAAAUUCUUUGUCUAAAUUUAUGUCAAAUACGACUUGGAAAUAAAUCCUGAGUCUGAUUUGAAAACAAGCUCGACUUUGUUAACACAUGAUGAAUUGAGCUUAAAUGCGCUCGAACUUGAAAAAACUCAAAUGAAUUCCAAUAUACUAUAGGAAAUUGUGACUCGACAAAUUUAACCAAUUUAAUCAACUUACUAAACAAAAAUAAUUCCACAAAAUAUAAGAAGGUGUCCAAACACUUUUCAUAAAACAAUUUUUAAACAAUCAAGACAAGUUUAAUGCACGUAAUCAUUAAAAAAAAAAAAAGAAGACAUAUUAGCUCCGCUGAAUAUAUAAAUGAUCCUAAAUGAGUUUAAAUCAGCUAUGCACGAGCCGGAUUUAUUAAAUGAGCUUAAUUUUAUGUUUGAACUAGACUUGUUCACUUAAAGGAACCAGUCAAGCUCAAACUAAUAUAAGUUACGUCGAGCUACACUUGAGAAUAGUUUGAGCUCUAUAAUAAUAUUAUGUUCUUCUUUUUUCUUUUUUGUAAUUAAUUAGUUUUUUUUUUUUUGAAAUAUUAGUUUAAAAAGGGCGUGUUUGCGAGGGAAGAGGUGAGUGUUUAUCUGUUAAAAUGUGUAUUUUAGCAUACGUAGAUGGAUUUGUUUUUCUUUUUGUGAGGGAGAGUGAGAAGAGUAUGCGCGUACAUCAGAAACAUUGUGCUAACGGUAGAAGAAGAGCGCACUUCUUUUUUUCUCAUGUAUUUAAUUUUUGUAGUAUAUACCUGGAAACUUCAUUUUUGAAGUAUAGGCAGAAAGGUUUGGUACUGUGGUAUAUAAGAACCUGAUGCGAAAUAAGAACAAAGAAAGAAAAUGGUGUGCUUGAAAAGUAUAAUUCCCAAUGAAUUUAAAGUAACAAUGAUAUAUUAUUGCUCUUUUUUUUUUUUUUUGACGGAAGUUAGAAUUAUAAAUCUAAUCCCAGAAGAAACCUCAAAAGCCGGCAACUUUUGAGGUCCUUCCAGGGACUUAUAAACCCAACCCCAAACCCCCCCCCAAGAACCGAUGUGGGAUGACAACCCCAAAAGGACAAGUCAGUAGGCCCGCUGGUACUAAGAAGUGAUGACCCCCCACGAAACCCAGUAUUGCUCACCGUUACCCUGCUCGACACCUCAACAGUUCCAAGGAUUUGAGAGACUCUUAGCAAUUACAAGUGCUGAUUGGGAAGCUAAAAAGCUCGAAUGCUCGAUUAACCUUUUUUCCCCUCGUUCGAAUGCUCGAUUAACCUGCUCGAAGGCAUAAACACCACAAUCAAAUUAUUAUUUUUAAAAAAUUAAAAUUUUAAAACAUGAUUAAAUAAUUGAGACGCGACAUUACUUUGAAAAGUUUGCAGUAACUCUUGUUUGCACGAUGCCAGAUCCCGAUUUAUGACCUCUAAUAACUAGCCAUGUUGCAACUUGAAUGGAAUGGGCGUCACCAUUCACAUGAAAGUGACUAAGAUAUUAAGCACUGACUUAGCGGAAUAUUGGUUCAAGGAAUUACUGGUUUGUCGUUCUUAGUGUAAUUACACAUGUUUACAUCCUUGUAGCUGUGCUGUCUUGGUUUUCAGCAAGAUAAGAUACUUUCGGCCAUCACCAGGAACUUUCCAUUUAGAUUUUUUUUUUCCAAAAAAAAAAAUGAUUAGGCUUUUUCUUUGGUACACAUCUCAUCUUUCAAAAUUCUAAAAUAUCCCAUUACAACUUAUAAUUCCUUCCACUGAGUGCGCCUAAUUAGCCAUUGAGCCUUUGGUCCGGUGGCUAUUCCAAGCCUUUUUAAGCUUGGCACCACCAAGCCUUUUUAAGCUUGGCAGCGUAGAAAGCUAAGGAUUCAAAUCUUAUUUUUCACAAAAUUUAUCACAAUAUGUGAUAGUCUUCAUUGAUCAAUUUUGAUGAAAUUUUUACUCACAUCGAAUCUCCACCUCCUCCUCCUCCUCCUCCUAGAAUAGGUUAGGUUAUAAAAAAAUUCUAUCGCAUCGACCAAAAAAAAAAAAAAAAAAGAGUGCGGCACAUUACACUACUGCCCCAUCCCCAACGACCGACAGAAUGUUCACAGCAGCAGCCAUUAGAGGCACUAAGAGGAAAGCUAUGUCUUGGCUUGAUGAUUACAAUACAUUCAUAGGGAAUAUGUACAGCGUUAAAAACUCACAAUCCUCAGACCAUGGCACAAAAUCACACACACAUAUAUAUAUACAAGAAAAAAAGAAAAGAAAAGAAAAAGGAUGACAAGCUUAGCAAUAUCCCACUCCUAUUACUGAUCAGUGCCUCGAUUGUUUCAUAUUUGGGCACAGCAUCUCAUGAAAGAUGAUGAUGGACAGCUAAAUAAUAUUCAGCUGAAGGCCAGAGGCGGAGGCCUCAUGCCCCAACUCCAGUUGGAGCUGCGGCGUUAUUGGUCUUUGAGGAAGCCAUGUCUGCUACAUGGAAUUGUGAUGCAUACUUGUAACGAGGUCCUUCUCCUGCAAUCACCGGCGGCUCGUUUAGAAACGCCGAGUUGCUGCUAAUCCACCUGCAUGACUCACCAAGGAAAAAAAAAAAAGACGAGUCGAGUACUAAUUAAAUCAGAUCAACAAAAUAAAGAAACAGAUGUGUAUACUUCGACUUACCAGCCGUGCUUUAGAAUCAAUUUCUCCAAAUUUGAUGCAGUUUCCGGGUCCAAGUCCUCUUCCUUUGCGUCCUGUGCUGGCAAAGAAUCCGAUCUUCGAUUUCUCAUUCUGGCAUCCUCAAAUACGUUUUCCUGCGUAUAUUUGGUGAGCAUCAGCUAAUAGCUACUCGAUCCCGACUAAUUUUGAAAACAGAAAAAAGUCAUAGGAAGGAGACCUGACCUGGCUGCGUGGGGAUAACAUGGAAAUGUCUCUGAGAUGUUCCUCCUCCUUUUGUUUUUUAGAUUUCCAAAAGGCCUGAAUUUCUUCUCUUGUUAAUGAACUAUUUCUCCGCAACUUCUCUGAAAAACAAAAAGAAAGAAACCAUUUUUUGUUAGACAUAAGGAAAAAACAAAAAAGGGGUUCUUACGGAAGAAACAUUAAAAAGUUUACAAGAAUGAAAGGUACAGAUGCUAGGAGUCACGUACCAACUUUAGGAUCUUGAACCGGAGAAUCCCAACCUGCCAUGAGAGAACCCAUUUUCACUAACUAUUCUUCUGCUGAUAACUUUCAACUGAACUGCUUCGAUUGAUCAACUGAUAAGAACUUCUGCUAUAAGUAGCUCAACCUGAUAAAGAUAUCCUCUUGGUUCAUUUAUUACUAUAAUAAUAAUAAAGACUACCACUAGAGCAUGUAGCUAUAUCCAAUGUUUCUUGGUGGGCCAAACUAAGGUAAUGGCCAGUCUUGAUCUUAUCCUCAGAUAUACAUUAAAAUGAUUAACUGUACCACACACAGUGAUACUGAGACCAUUUCUCUCUCAGGACGAGCCCACAGAUUGCGGAAGUCACGGGGCGGCGAGGAGACCGACAAGUAACUUUGAAAUAAGUCUUUUUUAAUCCCCUUGUUUAAUUUAAUUGAGUGAAGGGACAUUCUAUCGAAGAAAAUCCUAUGAUGGAUAAUGAAUUUCCCAAAGUAAAAGUAAGCAAUUGUAUGAUUAAAAUCUGGUCCUUGCUUAUUAUGGAGAUUAUCGGUUAUUGUGGAUGCUUCUUCACUACCCUUUUUCUUUUUCUUUUUCUUUUUCUUUUUUUUUGGUUGAAAUAAACUAAUAAAUAAGUAAUAGCCUUAGCUAGUAAAAAUAUUCAUUUUUAAAUUUUUUUAAAUAUUUUUAAUCAGCCUUUUAUUUUUCAUACAUCAUAUAACAAAAAAUAUUGUCCAAGCAAUUAGAAUUAGGAACCACUGGGCCUUUGGCUCAGUGGCCACCGCCUACUUGGUGGGGGGAGGCAAGGUUUCAAAAAUGUCACAUUUUUAUGAUUUGUUUUCAAAAAAUUCAGGCGGAUGGUGGUUCAAUCCCCUCCGGCUUAUCUCUAGGUCUUUUUAGGCCGGUUCCCUUUCUUUUAGUGUAGAAUAGAUUAGGUUUAUCGUUCCGAUAAAAAAAAAAAUAGAAUUGGGAGCGUGGUGAUGGGACUUAAUUUUAACUGCUUCUGAGGAAAAGCGUGCAAUAGUAGUUUUUAGGUUAGGAUGGGAAAAAAGAUGUUGGAUAAAGUACUCCGGUUUUUGACUCUUUUUUUUUUUUUUUUUUGUGUAGGUUUGGAGUGAGUAUUUUGUACAUAUCACCGCCGGCUAAACUACGUGGCAUCAAGGUGUCAUGUCAUGCCAAUCCUAAUCCCAUCUUGGCUAAUCCUGUGUGGUGUGGCUGAUCUCACCUUUAGGCUUUAACAGUUUAUCUUGCUGAAUUUUCGCGAAUGGGCUAUCCCAAAGUCAAGUGAGUUUAUUUGAUACUGUUCUCGAUUGAUUAUUGAUUAUUGAUUAUUCUCAUUUAUUAUUUUCUUAUGCUGUUAUUGCUUAUUUUUUUAUUCAAAUUAUAGAUUUUUUAAUAAUUAAAAAAAUCUGAAAUUCAUAAUUAAGUAAAGAGUAGUUUUUGCUUAUCCAUUUUACAAAAUCUAAAACAAUCAAGAGUAAGGCCUUUCAAAUGUAGACAGGUCUUCGUGAUUACCUUUUUUUUCUCCUUUAAAUAAAUGGAAUAUCUUGAAUUUAUCACUUUCUAUAUACAAUUCUUCCCAACUUAUCAUCCAAUUCAAUCAUCUCUCUUAACACUUUUUUUUUUUUUUGUAAGUGAGAAAAUUAAAUUCAAAACUUUUUACCUAUGACCUCUUCCACGUUAAUCCUUCACCUCACUGCAACUAUUUGGACUGAGGCAUGUUAGCGGCCUACACGGCUACAAGCCAAUGAAGAGGAAUCGUGCUAUGCAGUUGUCUCUGCCUGAAAAAAAUUAUGCAUUUGUUUCUUUUUCAACGUAAUCUUUUAUCUUUUCCAAGCUCAGGAAAAUUUGGAUCCAAGGCUGUUGCUGUCCAGAUUAAGACAUCCUAGCAUCUUGCUAAAUAAAUAUCCAAGUCUAACUUAAAAAAAUAAAUAAAUUAAUAAAUUUCCCACAUCAAAUACGCAGCCAAAGCCUUAAGAGGAAUUCUCAUGUUCCACUGUCUUCCACUAACGAGAGACGCAUCCGUUGUGACAUCAAAUACAAGCUCAAGUCCAGGUAGGGUCACGAAUGGGACGAAUCGAAUCAAAUUUUGACUUAAUUGAAUAGAGUUUUAACUCAAUUUUAUCAGAAGCUCGAGUUCAAUAAACUCUCAAUGUAAAAUUUAAAUUCGAACUCGAUUUUAAAUUCGAAUUGAGUCAAACUCAAGUUCAAGCAUAUUUGAAUUUAAGAAAAAAAUAAAUUAUUUAUUUUUAAAAAAAUAAAAAAUUUCCCUUAAUAAAUAAUGAAUAUUAGAGAUGUAUAUGUAAUUUUACAAUAUAUAUAUAUAUAUAUAUAUAUAUAUAUAUAUAUAUAUAUAUAUAUAUAAUUUGACUUGGUCAGUUUGAGGUCAACUCAAACUCGAUAUUGAUCCAACUCCAAUUAAAUUUUGAUUGAAUGACUCACGAGUAGGGCUGGAGCUGAAUCAAGUAGCUCAGCUCGAGCUCGCGAGUCGAGUCGAAUUCGAUUUUGGAAAUAUAAUACUCGAGAGUUCGACGAGUUCUAUAGAGCUUUUUAUAAUAUAUAUUUUAAUUUUUAUUAUUGUGAAAUGUCAAUAAUAUCCUUUAUUUAAAAUUAUAUAUAAAAUAUUAAUUUUUAUUACUUGAGCUUGAUUAGGUUUGAUUGAGCUCAAAUAAUCUCGAUUGAACUUGAUUUGAAUUAAUUACAUUUAAUUAAGCUCGAGCUUGAAUUUUAAAAGCUUGACGAGCUCGAGCUUAGUUAUUUUGCCUCGAGUCAAGCUCGAAUAGUGCACUACUCGAGCUUGACUCGACUCGAUAGCAACCCUACUCACGAGUGCUUGCAAACAGUUUAAUUCAUUUACAACCCUACAUCCAGGCACCAAUAAUUAGUGGGUUACUGGCUGAAAAUCCUAAUGCAGAAGUCCUUAAUAAUGACAAGGACCUAUCCCAUCUUCAAGCACCCCACAGAUGCCAUCUUUUAGAUGCUGUGGGACGGGAAAAAGUAAAAGAUGAAAAGGAAAGGCAUAUUAUUACCUCAGAAUAUAUAUAUAUAUAUAUAUAUAUAUAUAUAUAUAUAUAUAUAUAUAUAUAUAUAUAUAUAUACUAGUAAAAAAAAGAGAAAAGAUAUCAUAUUUUUUAGAAGUGCAUUAUUCUUUUUUCGCCCCGUCACUUUUUCAAUGUGAAUUUAGAGCUUGAAAAGAUCUCUUUUUUUUUUUUUUUUUAUAUUGAUCCUUUGUAUCCUUAUAAGGCUUUUUUAUAAUGUGUCUCCGUUUACAGUGUAACUACACGAGAAGGUAGAAAGUGUAUAUACUACAACUGACAAGGUUAAAUGUAUGAUAACAAAUCUUAAUUUGAAUUUAAAUAUUAAAUUUUAUACAUGUAUCAUGUAUUUAAAUUUGAUUUUGUGUGCAUAGUAGAUAUAAGAUUAAUUAAUAAAAGGAAAAAAAUUUAAAAUGUCCCUAGCGUUUUGUCAAAAAAAAUUUUCGUCAUCCAUUUUUAAAAUGUUAGUUUUACAUUCCUUACAAAUUUAAGUUAGCAAAUUUGAUUCCAACUUUUAGUUUGAAAUUACAACGUGACCCAAAUGCAGUCAUUUUUCUUAUGUAUAAAAAGAUUAGAUCUACUUUUUCUUUGGUAAAAUUGAGUAUAGAUAGAGUAAAAUCUUACUUUUUUAGGAAAAAAAUGAAUAUGAUUCAAGUUAGAUCAUACCUUUUCAGCGAUAGAAAUGAAUAUCGAUUGAAUCACUUGUUUAACUACAUAUAGGAUUUAACUUUUUUGCUUCUUAAAAAAUGACUAUGUAUGGAUUACAUAAUGGAUUCAGGGUAAAAACAGUAAAAAAAAAAAAAAAAAAAAAACCUUGAUUGGGACCAAAUUUUAUCCAUUUGACUUUAUAACUAAUGUAAAGUUACUAUUUUAAAAAUAAAAGAUGAAAAAAUUCAUUUGAUGAAUUAUGAAGGACGUUUUGAAUGAUUUUCUCUUAAUAAAAAAGAAUCCUUAUUGUAAAGCUCUAAAAAUAUUUUUUUUUCAACUUUUUACUCCAAAUUAAAUUUCCCUAGGCUCUUUUAUCACCAAAUACAUCUAGACAAACAGCUACUAUUCAGUAAUAAGAAGACCUCAAAAAGGAAGUGGAAAGCAUAUAGACCAUAGAGAUUAGAGACACCGAUACUUGUAUUUACACAGUAAGCGGUCUUAGUGGUGCGAUUACACUGCUAAAAUGUAAUCCUACAUUUUCUACACCUUGGUACAUGCAACACAUCCUAAUGGCUAGUGAUCAAGGCGGUUAAUUAUUAAUACUAUUGUAUUUCACACUGAUGCUAGCUACUAACUGACAGGUUGUUAGCCUGUGCAAUAAUAAAUACCUGCUCAAACUAAAAAUAAUUUCUGUAGAUAGUGGUGAGCAGGGUCGAAUCCACAGGGAUUGGGAGUAAUUGUUUCUUUUCAAGUUCACAGUGACAAGGGGGUGUUUUUGUGCAGACAGUGACAAUCAAAUAAAUUCAAAUAAAAUCUAAGAAACUACUAAAAAUUAAAUAACAAAUUACUAAAAUCUAAUGAGUGAUAAUUAAGGAUCUAGCCAAGGAAUAACUUCAGCAAUGGUUCACCUAAUUGAUCAUCGAUAAGCAAAGGCAAUUCCAAUUAUUUACUAAUAAAUAGGUUAUAACUGCCAAACAAGCGAUGGCAGUCAACCCCUCCUUACUGUGUCGGUGAUCAAGGUACGUCCGUUAAUCACUGCUCUAAUUGAGAAAUAAUCCUAGGUACGCCCGUAGAAUUUAAUUCCCCAAUUGCCUUACGUAUUAGAGGAGCCCUAUUCUAAUCAAAUAACGCACUACCAGGGUUAUUUUAGGUUAGCCCGCGUAUUCCCCUGACACAAACCCAAUCAUGCCAGUUAUCACUAUUUUGAGACAGUUAAACAAUUACGGAUUUAACGUCCCAAUUGAUAAUAGAUUAUCAAAUUAACUAAUUAUCCGGAUCCAAGACAAUCAAUUAAUUAAGCAAUCAUAAGCACUGUAACCAGGGAAUAAGCAAAUACCAAUAAAUAAAAGGAAAAGAUUAAAUUAAAUCGAUCUCACAAUUUUUAGGCGAAUCAAAGCCUUCAUUGCUCCUUGACUAGAAGGGAAAAGUUAGUUCAUAUUUGAUGAACAAAACCCGCAAAAAAUUGAAGCCAGAGCUGCGGCCAUUAUCACUGAUAUUGGGAGAGUUCAAGUCGCUUCAAUCGAUGAGAAAAGCGAGAUACAGCAAUUGAUCCAAUUCUUCCUAAUUGUCUAGUCAAACGAGAAGAAAACAACUAAGGAUGAAAAGCAAUAGUCAAAAAGUCAAGCUAGCUACAAGACGAAAAGACUAAGAAGAGAGUCAGUGCUCUUCCUCUGCAAUUCCCAUAUUUCCUAUCUAAGUGCUUCCUCUCCUGAGCGGCGUCCGCCGCACCAGAGAAAAGAAGACCUUGAGGUUUGCUUUCUUUUUCCUUUUUCUAGUUGCUGCCUUCGGUCAAAAUUACCAAAAAGGUCUUGCACCUCCUUGUUCCAAGAAUGCCCUUGAUUGCCUGCUAUUUGGACUCUUUCCUGAUAAGUGUCAAACUGGCACUUAUUAUGGUAUUUUCGUUCUACUCCCUGAAAUAUAUGCCAAAUACUAAAAGUGAGUAGAAUCUAGCAAUUAAUUCACAUCAGAUCAGGUAAUAGGGGAAAUUAAUUAUAAAAUAAAUGAUAAAAUUGCAACCUAUCAAUUUCCCCCACACCUAAACCAUGCUUGUCCUCAAGCAUAAGAAAAGUACACAGACACCAAAAUUUGAUAAUGGUCAUUGCUCUAUCCACUAAAUUGCCAAGAUACCAAGAAAAAUAAUAAUCAAGCAUCAAUGGUCAAGUCCAAGAAACAUCACCUCGGUUAGCUUCUAAACCACAAACUCCUCUAAUUUCAUGUUAACUAAUCUAAGAAAAAGGAAUAACGCAUAACAUUUAUCAGCAAAUGGUCCAACUAUUAACCAAAAUCUCAACAUUAAAUCCAUAAUUCGGCAAGCUGAUUUUUAUUACACACUAACACAACCUUCACUUUUUUUUCACAUUUUUUUCUACUUUUCUCUCUCUUUUUUUUUUUUGAAUAGUAACAAAAGACUUAGUCGCUAGCCAUUAGAGCCUUUUGACGCGAACUCCAACAUUGGCCAUAUGAAGGAGCCCGGUUACUCAGCUUCUAUCGCCACGUGACCACGUACUCAUAGCAAUUACUACCUUUUGACGCGAGAAUCAACACUUUUAGGUGCAGAUCCCCGGUUACUCAGUAGUAACUAAUAGCGGAGUACAGUCAAGUUUAUUCAUAGCUAAAAAUCACAAAAACUCAAUAUAACACAAGAACCAAAAGAAAACUUGCAUCAGCUAGCCUCAUUUUCAAACAUGGAGAACUAAAGUUAAUAAUCGGACCAAUUCACAUGAAAAUGCCAAUAAUCAUUCCCUAUGCCUAGGAAAGUUAACCAAAAAUUAUAAGAGUAAAACAAUCAUCGAUAUUCACCAAAGAGAUGUUUUUGGAUUCAACCACAUUAACUUGAUACCCUUUUAUUAUUAAAAUUGGCAAUAGUAGAAAUAGAGGUAAUAAUCCAACAUCAAACCUUGGCAUGCACUUACGAGCCAAUCACUAAAAAGAAAAAAAAAUGAAUGAAAGACACUAGCACCAUAACUGCUCCCCCCACACCUAAAUCCUACAUUGUCCUCAAUGGAGGUAAUAAAGUAAUGAAAGCGAAGAGAACAAUGAAACUUCCCUGUUGAACAGCUAAGGGAUAGGAGGGAACAGUGGAGGGAAGCCGAGUUCUGAGAUAUCCUUGCCACUUGGCGGGUGAUGUUCGUCACUCGCUCAUCUACGUUGUGAAUCUGAGCCCGCAAGUGGUGCGACUUACAUCAGAGGCCAUCGAUGGGGGAGGCGCAGAAGAAGAGGGCUCGGGUUUUACCAUUUUCUCCAAAUGUCAUUUCAAUCAACAAGAGACAAAAAUUGCCCACAGGUAAUGUAAACAGCAAAUUCAAAGCAAUAAUAAUUUAAUAGCCACCGGUGCCUCCCUAGUAGACAACCCAAUCAACAAAAUGCACAACCCAGGCACCCGGAGACAAGACAAAUAUCCCAACAAUACAGCAAUUUCAAUCAAUACUCACGGGUGGCCCCAAUUGGGUCAAAUGCAGGCAGUCCAAAAUCGCAACAAAUGCUCUAAAGAUUUAGCAAUUGAAAUCAAUAGGUAAAAUACUCCCAGCAAGUCAAUUAGACGCCACCAACAGCAAUAAGCAAUGGAAGUGGCACAGUAGCCUUCCAAUUCAACAAACAAAUGCAGAAAAUACCCAACCAAAGGCACUUCAAGGGACGCAAGACAGAAAUCAGCCAAGUAGAACCCAAGUGAUACCAAAAAUAACCUUAACAAAGCAGUGAAUUCAACCAAUUUGAAUACGUAGAAUACGGUUAGAAAUGCCUCCCAAAGAUCAACAGAGAGCGGCAAAACUUGCCCACCCAAAAUCUGUCCAAAUGGCUCCAAUUGGACAAGAAAUUGCACAACUCGAACGAUCAAAACUUAGCAAUUGGGCCAAGCAACAGGCAAUGGCAACAACCAAUGGUUAGAAUUCGAGAACAGUUCAGGCACCAAAACCCAAGAAUCAAAUAGGCAGGCCAGUACAGAGGAUUAAGAAAUGGAAAGCAACACUGCAACCAGUACCACUGGUGCACAGACAGGAAAGAAUUAAAUUCAACGGCAGCAACUCAACCGCAAGAACUUAAACUGGAAAAUUAAUCAACCAGUACCACUGGUGAGUCACAGGGAAAAAUAAUCAAGCGGCCAAUAAUUCAAUAAAUAACAGAAAAUACCCCCACUAUGGCAGCAAUUAAACCCAAUUCUGUCCAAAAAUCACCCCCAGAAUAUGCCUAAAUCACCCCUGCUAUUAGCUAUAAAGAAACUCAAACUCAGGGUGGACUGGAACGACUCAACCAAAAACGCCCAAUAGGCACAACUCGCUUAAUUAGGCAAUCCAGAACACAGGAUUAUCAGAUAUUAAACAACUACCAUCACCAGUACCACUGGUGAGUGCAUAGGGAGAAAUUAAAGCAAAUAACCAAUCCAGUGCACAAAAUAGAUUCGAACACCCAAACAGCGCCAAAAAUGAACGGAAAUUAAAGCCAGAAGCAAUGGUCAACUAACUCCCAAAGUACCCCAAAUAUCGCAGCAGUUUAACUCAACUCUACCCAAAAUUAGACCAGAAAAUGCCCAAAAUUACUGCCCGCUGUUUUCCAACAAGAAGCCCAAGCAAAGGUGCAAAAUUUUCGCAAUUUAGGGUUCAGAAUAAGACAAAUUGAGGCAGGAAUCGCAAUACCUCCACCUGCCAACAAUUGACAGGUGGUAACGAGCUAGGGUGGAGCUGGCGGAGAUGAGAGCUCACGAGCUGGUGGUGGGCUGGUGGACUUCGUCGACGAGCUGCAGGGGGGUGGGGCAGCGGCGAGUGGCGAGAGCGAGCAGCGGCGUCUGCUGGGAAGAGGCGCGAGGUGGGUGCUGCCUCUGGUGCUGCUGGAGGCGGAUGAGCUGGGUGGAGCGGCGAGGUUGGAGGCGGACCGAGGAGCUGUGGAGGACGCCAGGGGGAAAAGGAGGUAGAUGCGGCGGUCGUAGCUGGAGUGGAAGCAUCGAGGGUCGGCGAGGUGCGAAGUGGAUGGCCGGCUGGUCCAUUGCGCGAGACGCGAGGUGGCGGCCUUAAGGAGGUGGGCGGCGCUGGACGCUCGGCUGCUGGACACGGCUGGCGGCAAAUCGAAGGGAGGAGUAGCGGAGCUGGUGGUGGUGGCGUGCGUGAUGUGGGAUGCGGCGUGAGUGGGCGGCGGGCAAGGGAAUUCGGGCAACAGAGAGGGAACAGAGGAGGAAGAAAAGAAGAAGGAGGAAGAAGAAAGAAAGAAAAAAAAAGAAAGAAAAAGAAAGAAAAGAAAAGAAAGAGUUUUUUUUUUUUUAGAUUGAGAAACCUAGCUACGGUUGAAAAAAUUUUUCUUCUUCUUUUUUUUUUUUUGGUUUUUUUUUCCUCUGCGGAAAUCAAUUUUUUUUUUAAAUUUUUUUUUUGAAUUUUGGAAAUUAAAGCUACAGUAAUAAGAAAUUUUUUUUUUUUUUUAAAAUCCUUACCUUUCCCGCGAACGUGACGCGGGCGCGUCAAGAGGUCAAGAGAGCUCCCAGAAGUUGCAGAAAUUCCUGAUCGUGAGCGUCCUGCACAUCACCACGCGGGCGCGUCAUGACUGAAGGUCACCUACAAAUCAGCAAAAACGAAAAUUAACACCCAAAAUCAGUCAAAUUCAAGGAAGACAGAUUUAAACUAACAAAUAAAAUCAAACAAACAACUAAAAGAAAUUGGGUUGCCUCCCAAUGAGCGCCUUUCUUUAAUGUCUUUGGCUAGACAUUAUCAUGUUUUGCUCAUGGAGGAUAAAAUCUUGUGGCUCGCUUCAAUGCUUCAUCUUCAACGUGAUCCUGGUAACCCUCAUAGAUGGAGUAAUUCUUGGGCACACGAGUUACGGGCUUCCAUGGACUAGUAAAUGGCGCUAAACAAGUCAACAAUGAUUUGCAUUCUCCACUCACUCCUCCAUCACACGCAUUCAUUGGUUCAAGAUAUUUUUCCAUUGCCACUCUUAACUUAUUCCUGUCAUGAAAUUUCAAAUUUUCUGGUAUAAUAAAAUCAAUUUCAGUAACAGGAAUUGAAGAAGAUGAAUUAGGAAAAUAUUGAUUAAGGAGUGGAGAAGAUGUCACCGCAUUUGGAAAUUGUUCACUGGAUUCAUUCACUUGAAUAAUUUGAUGUUGGAGUCCCAUGUCUUCCGCUUCAACUUCCUUUUCAACUGUAUCUUUGGAUCCUCUUUCUUGAGACUCUUGCAGUUCCAUAUCACUUGUCAGGAUAAUUGCACUCUCACCUUUCUUAGAGUCAUUGAUGGUCUGUGAGGGCAAGUCUGACAUGAAUGACGAUUGUUGAGACUCUUGCAGCUGAAAACUCAUUGGCCCCUCUUCAUAAUUAACGUUAGAGUUAUCCCACCAUCCUUGAUCAUAUCGGUUUGAAUAAGGGUCAUACCACGUUUGAGAUCGAGGUGAAGAAUCUCCAAAUUUUUUUUUGAGAUAGUCACUCAGGUAGUCUUGAUAUUCGGGGCACAUACCGGUUGAAUGAUCCCUGGCAUAACAAAUUUCACAGGUUGCAGCAGCCAUUCUUUCUCUAACAGAGUUUAGUGCCUCUGCAUAUGCAGACCUCACAAAAAAACUAGCCUCAUUGCCUUCCCCGGAAAUAAAAUCCAGUAUAUCACCAAAAUACGGAGUGUAAGAAGCCAUAAACUAAAUAAAAAAAAUGUAAACAAGAUGAAUUUAAAAAGAAACAAAUAACUAGCGCCAGUCCCCGGCAACGGCGCCAAAAAUUGACAGGUUGUUAGCCUGUGCAAUAAUAAAUACCUGCUCAAACUAAAAAUAAUUUCUGUAGAUAGUGGUGAGCAGGGUCGAAUCCACAGGGACUGGGAGUAAUUGUUUCUUUUCAAGUUCACAGUGACAAGGGGGUGUUUUUGUGCAGACAGUGACAAUCAAAUAAAUUCAAAUAAAAUCUAAGAAACUACUAAAAAUUAAAUAACAAAUUACUAAAAUCUAAUGAGUGAUAAUUAAGGAUCUAGCCAAGGAAUAACUUCAGCAAUGGUUCACCUAAUUGAUCAUCGAUAAGCAAAGGCAAUUCCAAUUAUUUACUAAUAAAUAGGUUAUAACUGCCAAACAAGCGAUGGCAGUCAACCCCUCCUUACUGUGUCGGUGAUCAAGGUACGCCCGUUAAUCACUACUCUAAUUGAGAAAUAAUCUUAGGUACGCCCGUAGAAUUUAAUUCCCCAAUUGCCUUACGUAUUAGAGGAGCCCUAUUCUAAUCAAAUAACGCACUACCAGGGUUAUUUUAGGUUAGCCCGCGUAUUCCCCUGACACAAACCCAAUCAUGCCAGUUAUCACUAUUUUGAGACAGUUAAACAAUUACGGAUUUAACGUCCCAAUUGAUAAUAGAUUAUCAAAUUAACUAAUUAUCCGAAUCCAAAACAAUCAAUUAAUUAAGCAAUCAUAAGCACUGUAACCAGGGAAUAAGCAAAUACCAAUAAAUAAAAGGAAAAGAUUAAAUUAAAUCGAUCUCACAAUUUUUAGGCGAAUCAAAGCCUUCAUUGCUCCUUGACUAGAAGGGAAAAGUUAGUUCAUAUUUGAUGAACAAAACCCGCAAAAAAUUGAAGCCAGAGCUGCGGCCAUUAUCACUGAUAUUGGGAGAGUUCAAGUCGCUUCAAUCGAUGAGAAAAGCGAGAUACAGCAAUUGAUCCAAUUCUUCCUAAUUGUCUAGUCAAACGAGAAGAAAACAACUAAGGAUGAAAAGCAAUAGUCAAAAAGUCAAGCUAGCUACAAGACGAAAAGACUAAGAAGAGAGUCAGUGCUCUUCCUCUGCAAUUCCCAUAUUUCCUAUCUAAGUGCUUCCUCUCCUGAGCGGCGUCCGCCGCACCAGAGAAAAGAAGACCUUGAGGUUUGCUUUCUUUUUCCUUUUUCUAGUUGCUGUCUUCGGUCAAAAUUACCAAAAAGGUCUUGCACCUCCUUGUUCCAAGAAUGCCCUUGAUUGCCUGCUAUUUGGACUCUUUCCUGAUAAGUGUCAAACUGGCACUUAUUAUGGUAUUUUCGUUCUACUCCCUGAAAUAUAUGCCAAAUACUAAAAGUGAGUAGAAUCUAGCAAUUAAUUCACAUCAGGUCAGGUAAUAGGGGAAAUUAAUUAUAAAAUAAAUGAUAAAAUUGCAACCUAUCACUAACCACUACCAUUCUUCUCACAGUCUCAACUAGGGGUGGCAAUGGGGUGGGGGUAGGGCUGGGGAUCGCUCCCCCACCCCUCGCCCCGCCCCGCCCCGCCCCGUCUCCCCAGCCAGGCAUUUGUGGGAUUAAAAAAAAUUUAUUAUAUAAGUUCAUUAUAAUUAAAUUUGAGAAAAUAAUCAAGUACUAAAAUAUCAAUUUAUUACCAAAUUAUUAUUCAUUGAAACUUCACAAUUGAAACUCAUAAAAAUAAUUAAACAAAAGUUAUUUGAAUACAAUCUAAUACGAUAAAACAAAUAUAACUAAAAUAAUCAAGUUUUUACUUUUGAUACAAAUACAAUCACUAAAUUAUUAUUGUAUUUUUUUAGAAAAAAUGUUAUUGUAUUAAGUGUAGUUAGGAAUUUAAUAUAAAUGUAUUAAUAAAUUUAGUAUAAAUAAUUAAUAAUUUUUAUUUAUAAAUAUGCAUAAUUAGUAAUAUAAUUAAUACUAUAAUUAUAUAUAUAAUUAUGCACAUAUAUAUAUAUAUAUAUCUUUUUUUUUCUUUUUUUUUUUUUUUACAAAUGGGUACUCUCCCGCCCCAAUAGGCACCCGCACCCGUUGCCAUCCCUAGUCUCAACCCCCAUGAAAAUUGUUGGAGGUCAUUGUAGAAAUUCUCUUAAUGCGGGCAAAAUUAGCAGAUAGGAUCCAACUUGGUCCACCUACAACCCCCCAACCCAAAUAAGGUGUGACUUCUUGCGUUGUCAGGCCAUAGGACCAUUGCACCCUCUUGGAGGACCUUGCACCUGGUCCAUAGCACUUGUACUCCCCGUAGAACACCGUCCUGGAGCCCAAGAUUAGGCGUAGUUAGACGCUUGUUCAUUUAAUCAGCAUGUGUUCCCUUCAGCGGAUCAACCACAUUAGUUUCCAAUUUAAGUAUAGUAGGAUUGAUCGAUUACCAGAAGGCCGCAGCCAAAAUCUAAUGCAUAAGAUAUUGGAAAAUUUCCAAUAUAGAUUACCUUUGUUUGGAAGAGCUGCCCCAAUCAUCUCAUCCCUGAGGCAUAAUCACGUUUGACAUGUAACAGAGGGCGAAUACGACCCUGGAGUAAUCACCCCAUGGUCGUCCCGGUAGGGCACUUUUUGCCCCGCUAACUUUACAACCCACAAAGAUGAAGCCUGUUUCCUGAGAUGAUGACUGCCUAGGUUGGGAAGUUAUUGCCCCAUUUCCUUGAGACACUGAAUGCAAAUGACAUUUCUGCAUAACAAAAUUUAGUCGUAGACAUUAGACAAACGCUAAAAAUCCAGUCCCUGGUGCUCAUUCCAGUCAUGGUACCUUGAAGACUCAAGCUGCAAUUCCACAUCUGAAAUCAGUGUCCCCUUCGAUGUAGCAGUUUCUGUGUCAUCCAACAGUGUAUCCUGGUGAGAUAGAAUUCUACAUGAGAAGAAUGAUACCCUAUCGGCCGAAGCCCUCAGUGCAACUGCUUUGGCUCCCGGGCCAUGAGUGUUCUAUUCUAGCAAAAGAAUCAUGUGAAAAAAUCAUGAGUGUCACAGUUUUAAGAGGUUCAGCUUCAAUUUUCCUUUUCUUUAAUAAGUUCGCAAAGGUUCACCUCUUAUAUUCAUGUAAAUUACUACCAUUAUUUCUGCUUGAACUCGCAAUGAGUUUCAUUUUAAACCGUCAUUAAUUAAUAACGGGAAAAAGGAAAAAAAAAAAAAAACUGCAUAUGAAAUUUAUGAAGAAAACUGGUACCUGAAUGGUUAGUUACCUGCCAAUAAAAUCAGAAGCAAGAAGGGUUACAGUUGGAAAACCAAAUAUGUCCCCAUAAGCGUUGUAUACAUGUUAUUAUGGUUGUACCAGGUUUGAUGCCACUCAGAGUUAUGAAGGCUUUGUUUGGCGGCACAGCAAUUUUUUCUUUGUAGGUUCCAGCGUUGACCAGUAUAUAAACAUGGUGGGAAUUAUUGAACGGUUCAGCAUCAAUGGCAUCUUGUAUUCUGUGGUGAUCUCCUUUUCCGGACUGGUCGACGUUCAUAACAAUGCUGGCCGUCGAAGUCCCAUUACAGAGAAAGGAUAAAAAUGUUGAAAGGAAGAUGAAAACAGGAGUGUAAACAAGAAGCACCGUUUUUAUUCCUGAACGAAAGAUCAUGAAUACGUGUUUGUUUGUACUAGCACUACUAGCUACGCAGGUGAAUUAUUUAUAACUGAAGAACUUUUCAAGGGCAUUUUGCAGAAAAAGACUCUGGUUCAUUGAACCAGGAUCGACAAUGUUCUCCAUACAGCCAUUCCGUAUAUAUAUGGUGUCAGAAAUGGGAAAUAGUCCUUCUUCUUUCAAAAGGACAAAAGGUUGAUGUCAUCAUGCCAUGUUUUGGUAUAUACGAUUGAAGCAAGCAAGUUUGAGUACUUGUGGCUUGCAACCAUACCAUUGCGGGAAAAUAAAGGUAGGUUCCCUUGACAUUGAGUCAAUAAACCAAAAAAAAAAUGGAUCUUUCCGGAGUGAGAGAACAAUGAACUGGCCAAGUUCAUGGAUCUGCAGCGACAGUGGCGAUUGGAUUGGGAACUCAUCAAUUCAUGGAUAGGACUAUGCACAUUUUCUGGGCUUGGGCUUUGUUUACCGCGUGGCCACGUCAAUGAUCAUGGGUAGCUCUCAUUGACUCCUUCUUGUUUCUAAUACUUGUAGUAUUUUCCAGUUCUACCAUUUUUUUCCAAGAAACUUGUCACUCUCCUCUUUCUUUCUCAGCUUAUGCUACUUUUCUUUCUUCUGUCUCAACAAGAGGGGAGAUCAGCAGAUAUCAUGGAUCUUUUUCCUACCUAGAGUCGUAAUCUUCAUCUGUUAACAAUGGCGAUUUCUUGUUUUUCAUUUCGCAUUUUCUGCAAGAUAUAUAAGAAGCAAGCUAACUCUGUGAAGAAAACUCGGACAGGAUGAAGUUCCGUUCUUCUUCUUACCUUUGCACAGGACAGCUCGAGAACCACUCGAGUUAGCUGGUACUUAGUACCCGUAACUUGUUUGUUUGUGCAUAUUUCAAAGAAGAUGGAAGCCAGGACAGAAAUCUAGAACGCAACUUUUGUUUUUUCUUCUUUUUUUUGGGUUCAACUUGAGAAGGGUGAUCAUCCUAAAUUUCCUUACAAUUUUGCCAACUACACGCUAGCUUGUAACUGUGUUAGAGUAAAUGCUUCGACCCUUGAAACUCUUCCCCGAAAGCUUUUUUUUUUUUUUUUUUUUUUUUUUUUUUUUUUUUUCCUUUUGAUUUUUGUGAAAAAAAAAAUGAGGGGAUUGAAUGGUAUAGAUGAACGGCAAAAGAAACCAAUAUGAAAAUCCUCUCCGGCACAAGCAGUUGAUACC
rnacentral:lncRNA from 1 species